UACGUAGGGGGCGAGCGUUAUCCGAAUUUAUUGGGCGUAAAGCGUGUGUAGGCGGUUUAUUAAGUCUAAAAUUAAAGCCUGGGGCUCAACCCCAGUUCGUUUUAGAAACUGGUAGACUUGAGUAUGGUAGAGGCAAGUGGAAUUUCUAGUGUAGCGGUUAAAUGCGUAGAUAUUAGAAGGAACACCAGUGGCGAAGGCGGCUUACUGGGCCAUUACUGACGCUGAGACACGAAAGCGUGGGGAGCAAAUA
rnacentral:rRNA from 1 species